rnacentral:rRNA from 1 species
AUGGAGGUCUCCUUCCCGGCAUCCUCCUUCCGGCCCCCCGCCAUCGACCGCGCCAGCGCCCGCUACGCGCCCUGGGCUCUCGUCGACAGGGAUGCCUACUUCGCCGCCCACGAGAACGACACCACCGCCGAGGCUGUCACCAGCACCGGCCACGCCGUCAGGGUCACCUUCUGCCUCGCCGACCCGCCGGCCAUCUCCCACUUCUGCGUCCACGGCCCCGCGUUUGACCGCGACGACUUCACCAUGGAGCCCCAGGUCCACUCCUCGGCCAAGGGCCUCGUCCUCCUCCGUUUCGCCUUCACCGUCGGCCCCCGGAGCACCCAUCGGGGCUCCCGCCUCGCCGAGUACUACGUCUACAAGGCCGGCCGCGGCAAGCCUCCGUCGCUCACGCCGAUCCCGCCCACUCCUCCGGGGGCCACAAACUCGUUCCACACCUGCGUCCUGCCGCUCGAUGACGACGACGACGGGGAGUUCUUCCUCGCCGAGCUCAGCAUGACGAAGUCCCGCUCCGACUACGGGUUACACGUCUUCUCCUCCAAGGCCGGCGAGUGGACUGUCAGACAGUUGCGUCUGCAGACACCUCCCGGGGUCAGGAAGCGGGACCUGCCCGGCCCUAACGACCUUGACAAGGUGAUCACGCUCGGCGGAGGCGCCGUAGGCUGGGUCGACCUCUGGCGCGGCAUUGUCACCUGCAACGUGCUUGACGAGAGCCCCAUCCUAACCUUCAUCCCCAUACCCAUGCUUGAAGGCAACGUGGACCGGGAAGGUAACUCCCGGCUGUUCCGGGACAUCACCUGCUGCGACAAUGGUUUCAUCAAGUUCGUUGAGCUGGAUCUCCGUUUCAAAAAGGUCCCUGAUCAUCAUAAUUACAAGACUCGCAAGACGACCAAGGAUCUUGACAGCGUAGAAAUCAUGCAUACUUCCUGGAACUACUGGCGCAAGGGGCACGCCGUCGAUAUCGACGAGAUCUCGGCCGACAACCCUGAGCAUUUUAUGUUGCUCCCACAGCUAUGGGAUGCUCGAGCCGGGAGGUCGACGCUGAGGAACACGUAUUCGGCUUUCCCGACCCUAGGCGUUGGCGGCAGCGAUGUUGUUUACCUCAUGUCUAAGCUGGGAUAUCAUGCCAAGAACGCGUGGAUGAUCGGCGUCGACCUUGGAGAAAAGAGGGUGGAUGUGGUUGUACCAGUUUCUUCUGAGAGAGUCGGUUAUUUCAAGCCGGAGUUUCUCGUAUGUGAAUUCUCCGAAUAUCUGAAUGCGACUCCAAGCACACGUGCCGAGGAAGUCACCCGCUCACCAAAUGGGGCUCAGGAUGAUUGUCAUCUUUCAUCAGGCAAUCUGCCACCGCAGCAAUACACGUGGAGCAACAAUGGGUACUACUACAAU